rnacentral:rRNA from 1 species
UACGUAGGGCGCAAGCGUUGUCCGGAAUUAUUGGGCGUAAAGAGCUCGUAGGUGGUUUGUUACGUCUGCUGUGAAAACCUAGGGCUUAACCCUGGGCCUGCAGUGGGUACGGGCAGACUAGAGGUAGGUAGGGGAGAAUGGAAUUCCCGGUGUAGCGGUGAAAUGCGCAGAUAUCGGGAGGAACACCGGUGGCGAAGGCGGUUCUCUGGGCCUUACCUGACACUGAGGAGCGAAAGCGUGGGGAGCGAACAGG